AUAUAAUAUAUUUGUUAUAUUCUUUCUCUUCUUUGGGAUGUUGGAAUGAGUUAACAGUCCAGUUCCCUUGAGUAAAGCAGAGAACUGAAGACCCAUCCCUUGUCCACAUCUUUUAUUUUGGCAGAAAGGUGAAAUUUCCUCGUUCAAGUGCCUGCUUCAUAUUUUGUUUUACUCUUCCCCCUUCUAACACUUUUAAUUUGACUGGGGAGGAGUUGAAACUGGCUUUUUCUUUCCCACUUAUUGUGGUAGAAAAUGGGGGAUGGAUACCAGCUUUCUUGGAGUCUUAUAUUCAAAAUAGCUAUAAAUAAUUAGUUACAGGGAUCGAGCUUCCCCCUCCUUUUAAGGCCUAAUUUAAGUUCUUUAUCAAAAUGAUUUAAAAUGCCUUUCUCUGUGGGAAACUAUAUUUCAGAGCUUUUAUUUAUUAGACGUCUCAAAAAGUGUGUUUUUAAUGCACAUCCUGACUUUCUGCCAAAACUCUCCACUGUAACAUUGGGAUUGGAGCAACCCUUUGUAUAGGGAGUUAUAUUUAUUGGAUUUUUACAUAUUGAUACAGAGCAAUUAAUCUAAAUAAAUCAUACACAGAAUUGGCAAAUAAAUCUCCCAGUCUUCAAUACUCACUGUACUAUAUUACUGCCCUGACAACCUUCCCUCAAACACAGAAAAACUUUCCUCUUUGUGUACUUUUUUCUCAUCCUCCUAAAGUGUUAAUGAUUUUCUGGCGUUGUGUAGCUUGGUUGCUGUUGCUGUGAGCUGCAGAGUUUGGGCUGUGGAUUUUGUUUUAUGAUGUAGGGAUGGGAAAACCUCGCUGCAUUUUAAAGGAGGGCGAAGAGCCUCAAAUUCUGCAAAAUGUGUGAGGAUCAUAAAGUAGUAAGCAAAGGCAGAUUUCAUGGUAGAUGGUUAAAUAUCUAAUAUCUAGCAUUAUGGGCCCUUUAUGGCACUGAGAGGAGAUUUCUUUAUUCUGAUUUAAAAAGUACAAUGUCUCUUGUGCUGGAUGGCUGCUUUGAGGAGUUCUUCAGCAACUUUGAAUUUUGCUUCAGCAGUUUCAGGACCUCCAGACUAAGUGUGUGUGUUUGUAGGUUGGAAUCCUCCAUUCUGGGACACCUUCUUCCCCCUCCCAAAUUUUUUCCUGCUUUCUGAACAGAAGUUGCAUACGAGAUAGUCUGGGCUUAAUUAAUUUAAGCAAAUACAAAACUGUAAGGCAGGUCAGGGACGGGUACAACUGAGUGUAACCCUCUGGCAGCUCACACCAGUGGAAGCUCUGCCUGGCUGUGUUUUGCAUCCCUGCCAUUACAAAUCCCAGGGAUGUGACAGCCUUCUCAAAAACCUCGUGUUCAGUCUUUCCCAGUGAAGGGUUAAGAGCUGUGGCUUUCCAAAGGGAUUUUGUAGUACCGGGCCCAUCACUCCAGAAGGCUCUGGUCUUUCUGACAAAAGGGCUCUGACAUCCAGGCAGUACUCCUGAAAGUUCAGGGUUUGCAAAGUCAGAGCUCUGUAAGAAAUCAUUACAAUAAAAGGUAGAACAGAUUCCAGCAAGUGUUCAAUCACCCAGUGUGGUGCCACUUAGAGGCAGAAGACCUUAAAACAGCCAGCAAGAUGCCUGCAGAAGAAGCCUCUGUGCCAGCUCUGGCACUCUGUGCCUGUCAUUCCACUCUGUGCCUGUCAUUCCAGCCUUUCAUCCCAGUUCCGUAAUACAAAUGAGAUUUCAGUGACUAGUCCUGGGCUGUGAGCUCCAGUGAGGCUGUGCAAGAGGCAGGGCCACCGGAGUGAUUCUCCUCUUUGGGCUUGGAUGGGAACCAAAACUCAUCUCUGGGAAGAAAUAUUUGGAAGAGACACUGAAGAUUAGAAAGUAAACCCCGUGUCUGGAGCUACUCCACAAGUCAAACCAAUACACAAAAACUGGCUCCUCAGAAAAGGUGACUACAUGUGGCCAAGCCAACCUGAGACUGGCCAAGUUCAUGCCCGAAAGGAAUCUACUGAUGGUUUUGGAGGUGGAGCAGGAUAUUUGGAGCUGCAGCCCCACAGAAGGUGUAUCUGAAGGGGGAUACACUGUGUGUGAGGGUCAUAGCCAGCAGAUGUAUCUUCAGUUAGGACAAGACAUCAUCAGAGUGAUGGAGAGAACACAAGGUGAGCACCCCCUGAGCAGCCUCCCUCCCUCCAGCUCAAUCCCAUCAUAAAUAACAAUGGUACUGAACUAUACACAGAAGAAGACGUUUUUUUCCAAAGCCUUCAGUUUUAAAGCUGAUGUUCCCAGUUCUCUCCAGUUGCUCCCUAGACACAUCCCCUUUCCCCUGCUACACAGGAGUAUGGCUCCAAACCAUUCUUGAAUGAAGUCAGCUCUGCUUUGCCUCUUGUUUGCUCUAAUCCACACCGCUUACAGUUAUUAUCAAAAUUGGGAAACAAUACAAAGCCGCACUUUGUGUGAUCAUGGAAUACCCUGCAAACACAACUAUUCAUUAGAAAAAAUAGACUAGGCACUACAACUGCCAGCUCCUGACUCUGCUGUGACACAGACACAUUUUUUUUUUUCAUCAGAGAUAUUUUUUUUUUGCCAUGAGAUGCCGAACAAAAGUCACGAGCAGUUCCUCUGAUCAAAAGAAAUCUCUGUGAGAGUCUGUGGCAGCUUCACCCCGUCCCUUCAUGCCAGCCACUGCUCAUUUCACUGAACACUCACUCUGCUCUACACUUGGCUCUUGAGAAAGUCAGAGCAGAUUCAGCACUGUGCAGUAAUACACUGAGAACAAAUGUGUUGUUUCUAUCAGUGGAAAAGGAAUUUAACUAUUUCUGAAAGUUCCUAUGCAAUGCCAGGAUAUGUUAAUACUUUGGCUACACCAUCGGUAUGGAUGUACCUGGCCUUGUUCUGGUGCUGAUCAGUGAUGUAAAUUAAAAUGUUAUUCAUUUAUAAAAUGUCUUGCCUUUAUUUAACAGAUCAAUUAAAGUCUUUAAAAAUUAUAAUCGUUAGAAUAACCAAUAUGUCAUAAGCUGUUUGGAAAUCUUCUCAACUUUAAGUUCAUUUUCUCUACAGAUCUUGUGACAUCAUUUAAUCACAGGGUCAGGGUAGGAUUUCAGAUGCAGAGAUGGGUCCCCUGUAUCUGCUCCCUGGUGCUAUCAGCACCUCCAAACACACCAAGUGACUUCAGUCUGCUCCACAUGCAAAUACUGUGCAGUAAAUAAUGAGCCACAUAAUUAUAGUUUGAGUAUUGAAUCAGCCUGUGAAAGCUAAAAGUGUAGGAGGUGAGUUUUGUGAGGACAGGAACAGCAUUUGCUGAAUAUACUUGGGAUAACUUCAGUCAAACCAUGAACGAGAGUGCUUUGGGUAGAAAGAUCUACAGAAAAAUGCAUCUCUGUUCUGCAUGAGACUUGGUAUUUUUUCCAUUGGCUUCCACAUUAAUUUGGGGCAAAACCACACUGACCUUUUCCAUUAAAGAAAACAAAAGAGCAUCUCCAAGACAGUGGGAACCAUGAAAUCAGGAGCUGGAAUACAACAUUGUGGCUUCUUUUAAGAAAGCCAAAGAGCAGCUAGGAACCUCAAAGCCCCAGAAGAGCCAGGAAUCCUGGACCACCAUUCUUACAGCCUGCUGGCUUCCAGUGUAAGGAUGUGGAAGGAAAAAGCCCUGAUGUGGCAAUCCCUGAUGAGUGUGCCCUAUUGUUGUAAGCACCCAGCUGACCUGCACCAGAGCCAUAAGUCUGGUAACACCAACUGUCCUCUUCAGCCUUUCCUCUGCAGGAAACAAGAGGCAGCUUGGGAUCCAGUGCUCCCAACUUCUGGCUUCUCACUGGCUUGGCAGAUGUACAGCAAAGGAAGCAGGAGCCAAGGAGACCAGUGGCUCCCAGAACCUCCCCAGGCAGCUGUGAUAAAAUCAGCUAAUUGGUAGGGAAAAAGCAGAUUCUCUUGUAACUUGGACAGCAUCUGAUCCAUCAGUUUUCUUUAAUGGAAAACUAUCCCUUGAGGGAUUUGCACUGGCUCCAGUCACUAAUGUCAUGAAAACCACAGGGGUAACCGUGAGCUUUAAAUCAUGUUUGGGCAAAUACUCCAUCUCCAUGUCUUUCACAAGAGAAGAAAUAAAUCAUUAUUCAAAUUUCACACAUGGUGAAACUGAGGCAGCAGGAGGUGCAGUACCCUGACCAGUAUUUACAAAUUGACUGGUCCAGCUGGGGCUGGCUGUCAGCUCUGCUGACCCCUGCUCUUUUAGCACAGGCAUCCAUGUCAUCACUGCACACAGACAGUCACACUGGCAAAAGACCACAGAUUCAUCUUUCUCACCUCUUGAAUUUGCAGCAUCGCUGCUCAAAUAUGGUUUCAUACUGAAAUAUUCUGAACUUUUUAUUUAAAUGAAAGGGUGCUUUCAAGGUGAGGGAAGAGUGAGGCUGAUUCUUUGUCUGGAAAAUAAUAUAAUUGUCUCGAGAAAAUAGCCCUCAUUGAUUCAAAACGAAUAAUUGGGAUGCCGUUAAUAGCUAUUAGUUUGGUGAUGAGAAGGCCCUAUUUAGUGAGCCUAAAGGAUUAAAGAGGAAACAAUUUGAAUUCUGACUCUCACAGCACACCCCCUCCAAAACCACCUCUGCAACUCGACCGCUGCCCGGCUGACUUUAAACUGCCAGCACUGACAAAAAGGGGAUGUUGCAUCUUUUAUAAACAGCCUUUUGUUUGCUGCUCUGACACCUGCGAAAAGCAAAAUUGUUAUUUUCUUGCUGCUUGUUGCUAGUUUGAUGCCCGCUCUGGGGCCCUACAUCAGAGACACUGCUCAGAACAGGUUGCAGGGGUCCGUUUCCGUGCUGUCUGCCGAUGGUGCUGCCUGAAGGAAAACCAUGGAAACGGAGUUUGACAGGCUCGCGGGGACCCACGGCUGCCAGAGCCGCUGUCUUUGAGCGCCUGAUGAAGACAUCACAGAGCAAACACAACAUUAAAACACUGCCGGCUGCUUUGCAUCACUUAGAAUGCAAAUCUCUUUGUUCUGCUCGGCCUCUGCGUUUGGUAGCCAAGGAAUCUGUGCCAUCAUCGAACACGGAUUUGACGACCUUUUUUCCUUCCCUGAACGCUGCCCCCCAAAAAAAUAAUAAAUCAUUUGUUGCGGUAGGGAGGCUUGUGUGGGGAUGUACAUGUGAAAAGGCCCCGGCUUUUUGCAGUUCCUGGGAUUUCAAUGCACAAAUUAAAUGCCUAUAUUGCAGAGAAG